GGCGCCAUCGUCUAACGGUUAGGACACUACCCUUUCAAGGUGGUAAUCGGGGUUCGAUUCCCCGUGGCGCUGCUA
rnacentral:tRNA from 1 species